GGUGAGAUGGCUCAGUGGGUAAGAGCACCCGACUGCUCUUCCGAAGAUCCAGAGUUCAAAUCCCGGCAACCA
rnacentral:tRNA from 1 species